rnacentral:lncRNA from 1 species
GAGUGCGAGUGGGGGUGGCCUAGGCUUGACAAACGGAUCGUGUUUUUCGUGUCACACCCGUUAUCUUAACGGGUCCUUAACAGGUUGGGUCACUUUAUGACCCGUUAUGACCCCUUAAGAAAAAUAUUUUUUUUUCUUAAAUUUGCACAUACCAUACAUUGCCACAUAAAUAUUACUUCAAAACAUUAAAACACAUUUGUCAUUUAAGUACUACAUCUACACUCGAAAAUAAGAGCCUAAUAAAAAAAUAAUACAUACGCUACUAAUCUAUUACAAAUAUUAAAUGUGCAAGGAUAUGAAAAAUGAAAGAGUUUUUGUUUUUAAGGUUGUGAAGUCUUUCUCAAAAGUUUAAACCUCAAUUUACAAAAUCCUCGAUUUACAUCGAUCAUCAUGAAAUUGUAUUGGAACUUUUGGCUUGAUCUCAGCCGAUCCAAUGGUCAUCAAUUUUUUAAA